UGAAGCCGUAUGCGGGGAAACUCGCACGUACGGUUUUUAUGGGGGAAUGCUGCAGCAAUGCAGUGUUCCUACCUACUCAUCU
rnacentral:ncRNA from 1 species